rnacentral:rRNA from 1 species
AUUGAACGCUGGCGGCAGGCCUAACACAUGCAAGUCGAACGAGUGGCGGACGGGUGAGUAAUGUCUGGGAAACUGCCCGAUGGUGGGGGAUAACUACUGGAAACGGUAGCUAAUACCGCAUACCAUCGGAUGUGCCCAGAUGGGAUUAGCUAGUAGGUGGGGUAACGGCUCACCUAGGCGACGAUGCCUAGCUGGUCUGGGAGGAUGACCAGCCACACUGGAACUGGGGCACGGACCAGACUCCUGCGGGAGGUAGCAGUGGGGAGUAGUGCACAGUGGGCGCAGACCUGAUGCAGCCAUGCCGCGUGUAUGAAGAAGGCCUUCGGGUAGAAAAGUACUUUCAGCGAGGAGGCGUUACUCGCAGAAGAAGCACCGGCUAACUCCGUGCCAGCAGCCGCGGUGAUUC